GGUGUAAAAGAUUGUUCAAACAAUAAUUAGUGGUGUGAAAAGGGACUGCAAAAAUAGUGGUCAAGCAGGUAGGACGUGGAUGGGCUCUAAAGUUGACGGGGGAAAGGAGCGAUGGUACGUCCACAGAACCGCCGAUGUGGUUACGGAGGAACUUCAUGUUAAUGUCAAUUCUUCUAUCGGCCAGCGUAGAUAAACCAAGUACGUAGGGAUCUAAAGAAUAGUCAUGCAACGGGUAAGAUAUAUUCAGCACAUGUCCGGAAUAGGAUAGAUAACGUUUUUGGACUAGCUUGAUGAUUGCAGAGUCGGAGACUGUAACCGGAUCCCACAAAGUAAAACCACACUCAAGCAGGGGUCUCACUAAGAAACAGUAAAAAGCCUUCAAUGGAGAGGUAACCUUAAAUGCAGUCGAUAAUCGUUUUACGAACCCUAGAGUCUUACA